rnacentral:rRNA from 1 species
CCGAAUACCUAUGAGUACUAUCCGGGAGACAGACUGCGGGUGCUAACGUCCGUAGUCAAGAGGAAAACAAUCCAGACCGCCAGCUAAGGCCCCAAAAUCAUAGUUAAGUGGGAAACGAUGUGGGAAGGCAUAGACAGCUAGGAGGUUGGCUUAGAAGCAGCCACCCUUUAAAGAAAGCGUAAUAGCUCACUAGUCGAGUCGGCCUGCGCGGAAGAUGUAACGGGGCUAAAACUAUGUGCCGAAGCUGCGGAUGUAUACUUUGUAUACGUGGUAGGGGAGCGUUCUGUAAGCCGAUGAAGGUGUGUUGAGAAGCAUGCUGGAGGUAUCAGAAGUGCGAAUGCUGACGUGAGUAACGACAAAACGGGUGAAAAACCCGUUCGCCGAAAGACCAAGGGUUCCAGUCCAACGUUAAUCGGGGCUGGGUGAGUCGACCCCUAAGGCGAGGCCGAAAGGCGUAGUCGAUGGGAAAAUGGUUAAUAUUCCAUUACUUCUGUGUAAUGCGAUGAGAGGACGGAGAAGGCUAAAUCAGCCUGGCGUUGGUUGUCCAGGUGAAAGGAUGUAGGCAUGUAUCUUAGGCAAAUCCGGGGUACUCUAUGCUGAGAUCUGAUAGCAAGCUGUACUUGUACAGCGAAGUGGUUGAUGCCAUGCUUCCAGGAAAAGUCUCUAAGCUUCAGUUACACAGGAAUCGUACCCGAAACCGACACAGGUGGUCAGGUCGAGUAGACCAAGGCGCUUGAGAGAACUCUGCUGAAGGAACUAGGCAAAAUGGUACCGUAACUUCGGGAGAAGGUACGCUGUUGUUGGUGAUGGAACUCGCUUCCUGAGCUGACGACAGCCGCAGAAACCAGGCCGCUGCAACUGUUUAUUAAAAACAUAGCACUCUGCAAACACGAAAGUGGACGUAUAGGGUGUGAUGCCUGCCCGGUGCUGGAAGGUUAAUUGAUGGGGUUAGCGUAAGCGAAGCUCUUGAUCGAAGCCCCAGUAAACGGCGGCCGUAACUAUAACGGUCCUAAGGUAGCGAAAUUCCUUGUCGGGUAAGUUCCGACCUGCACGAAUGGCAUAAUGAUGGCGGCGCUGUCUCCAGCAGAGGCUCAGUGAAAUCGAAAUCGCUGUGAAGAUGCAGUGUACCCGCGGCUAGACGGAAAGACCCCGUGAACCUUUACUGCAGCUUGACACUGAACUUUGACCUUACUUGUGUAGGAUAGGUGGGAGGCUUUGAAGCUGGAACGCUAGUUCCAGUGGAGCCGUCCUUGAAAUACCACCCUGGUAAUGUUGAGGUUCUAACUCUGUCCCGUGAUCCGGGACGAGGACCGUGUCUGGUGGGUAGUUUGACUGGGGCGGUCUCCUCCUAAAGAGUAACGGAGGAGUACGAAGGUGCGCUCAGCGUGGUCGGAAAUCACGCGUAGAGUAUAAAGGCAAAAGCGCGCUUAACUGCGAGACCCACAAGUCGAGCAGGUACGAAAGUAGGUCUUAGUGAUCCGGUGGUUCUGUAUGGAAGGGCCAUCGCUCAACGGAUAAAAGGUACUCUGGGGAUAACAGGCUGAUACCGCCCAAGAGUUCAUAUCGACGGCGGUGUUUGGCACCUCGAUGUCGGCUCAUCUCAUCCUGGGGCUGAAGCAGGUCCCAAGGGUAUGGCUGUUCGCCAUUUAAAGAGGUACGCGAGCUGGGUUUAGAACGUCGUGAGACAGUUCGGUCCCUAUCUACCGUGGGCGCUGGAAAUUUGAGAGGAUCUGCUCCUAGUACGAGAGGACCAGAGUGGACGAACCUCUGGUGUACCGGUUGUGACGCCAGUCGCAUCGCCGGGUAGCUAUGUUCGGAAGGGAUAACCGCUGAAAGCAUCUAAGCGGGAAGCCUACCUCAAGAUAAGAUUUCCCUAGGACUUUAUGUCCUCUAAAGAGCCGUUCGAGACUAGGACGUUGAUAGGUUGGAUGUGGAAGCAUAGUGAUAUGUGAAGCUGACCAAUACUAAUUGCUCGUGAGGCUUGACUAU